ACGCUAGCUACAGGCUUAACACAUGCAAGUCGAGGGGCAGCAUGGUCUUAGCUUGCUAAGGCCGAUGGCGACCGGCGCACGGGUGAGUAACACGUAUCCAACCUGCCGUCUACUCUUGGACAGCCUUCUGAAAGGAAGAUUAAUACAAGAUGGCAUCAUGAGUCCACAUGUUCACAUGAUUAAAGGUAUUCCGGUAGACGAUGGGGAUGCGUUCCAUUAGAUAGUAGGCGGGGUAACGGCCCACCUAGUCUUCGAUGGAUAGGGGUUCUGAGAGGAAGGUCCCCCACAUUGGAACUGAGACACGGUCCAAACUCCUACGGGAGGCAGCAGUGAGGAAUAUUGGUCAAUGGGCGAGAGCCUGAACCAGCCAAGUAGCGUGAAGGAUGACUGCCCUAUGGGUUGUAAACUUCUUUUAUAAAGGAAUAAAGUCGGGUAUGGAUACCCGUUUGCAUGUACUUUAUGAAUAGGGAUCGGCUAACUCCGUGCCAGCAGCCGCGGUAAUACGGAGGAUCCGAGCGUUAUCCGGAUUUAUUGGGUUUAAAGGGAGCGUAGAUGGAUGUUUAAGUCAGUUGUGAAAGUUUGCGGCUCAACCGUAAAAUUGCAGUUGAUACUGGAUAUCUUGAGUGCAGUUGAGGCAGGCGGAAUUCGUGGUGUAGCGGUGAAAUGCUUAGAUAUCACGAAGAACUCCGAUUGCGAAGGCAGCCUGCUAAGCUGCAACUGACAUUGAGGCUCGAAAGUGUGGGUAUCAAACAGGAUUAGAUACCCUGGUAGUCCACACGGUAAACGAUGAAUACUCGCUGUUUGCGAUAUACAGCAAGCGGCCAAGCGAAAGCGUUAAGUAUUCCACCUGGGGAGUACGCCGGCAACGGUGAAACUCAAAGGAAUUGACGGGGGCCCGCACAAGCGGAGGAACAUGUGGUUUAAUUCGAUGAUACGCGAGGAACCUUACCCGGGCUUAAAUUGCAGAUGAAUUACGGUGAAAGCCGUAAGCCGCAAGGCAUCUGUGAAGGUGCUGCAUGGUUGUCGUCAGCUCGUGCCGUGAGGUGUCGGCUUAAGUGCCAUAACGAGCGCAACCCUUGUUGUCAGUUACUAACAGGUUCCGCUGAGGACUCUGACAAGACUGCCAUCGUAAGAUGUGAGGAAGGUGGGGAUGACGUCAAAUCAGCACGGCCCUUACGUCCGGGGCUACACACGUGUUACAAUGGGGGGUACAGAGGGCCGCUACCACGCGAGUGGAUGCCAAUCCCAAAAACCUCUCUCAGUUCGGACUGGAGUCUGCAACCCGACUCCACGAAGCUGGAUUCGCUAGUAAUCGCGCAUCAGCCACGGCGCGGUGAAUACGUUCCCGGGCCUUGUACACACCGCCCGUCAAGCCAUGGGAGCCGGGGGUACCUGAAGUGCGUAACCGCGAGGAGCGCCCUAGGGUAAAACUGGU
rnacentral:rRNA from 1 species